GAGCAAGGGCGUGUAUUUUGAUUCAAUGACGAUCCCUUGCAUUGAAGGUUGGCAACAUCGUUGAGCGAUUCUCCGUGCCUUUCAAAUCUACUCUCGUUUUGAUUACGGCCUCGAACAAAUCGCUACAUU